CAAGUCGAGCGAGAAAAGGGGAGCAAUCCUCUGAGUAAAGCGGCGCACGGGUGAGUAACACGUGGGUAAUCUGCCCUGAAGUGGGGAAUAACACCGGGAAACCGGUGCUAAUACCGCAUAUGAUCACGGUGUCUGCGGACACAGGGAUGAAAGGAGCAAUUCGCUUCAGGAGGAGCCCGCGGCUGAUUAGCUAGUUGGUGAGGUAAUGGCUCACCAAGGCUACGAUCAGUAUCCGGUCUGAGAGGACGGUCGGACACACUGGAACUGAGACACGGUCCAGACUCCUACGGGAGGCAGCAGUGGGGAAUUUUUCGCAAUGGGGGCAACCCUGACGAAGCAACGCCGCGUGGAUGAUGAAGUAUCUCGGUACGUAAAAUCCUUUCGACAGGGAAGAAACCGCAAGGUUGACGGUACCUGUAGAAGAAGCCCCGGCUAACUCCGUGCCAGCAGCCGCGGUAAUACGGGGGGGGCUAGCGUUGUUCGGAAUUACUGGGCGUAAAGGGCGCGUAGGCGGUCUGCUAAGUUGGAUGUGAAAACUCUGGGCUUAACCCAGAGCCUGCAUUCAAUACUGACAGGCUAGAGUUCUGGAGGGGAUAGCGGAAUUCCUGGUGUAGCGGUGAAAUGCGUAGAUAUCAGGAGGAACACCGGUGGCGAAGGCGGCUAUCUGGACAGAAACUGACGCUGAGGCGCGAAAGCUAGGGGAGCAAACAGGAUUAGAUACCCUGGUAGUCCUAGCCCUAAACGAUGGAUACUUGGUGUAACUGGGAUUGAAUCCAGUUGUGCCGAAGCUAACGCAUUAAGUAUCCCGCC
rnacentral:rRNA from 1 species